UACAGAGGUCCCAAGCGUUGUCCGGAAUCACUGGGCGUAAAGGGCGCGUAGGUGGCGACCCAAGUCCAUGGUGAAAGCUCGAUGCUCAACAUCGAGUCGGCCACGGAUACUGGGUUGCUGGAGCACUGUAGAGGCAGAUGGAAUUCCGGGUGUAGCGGUGGAAUGCGUAGAGAUCCGGAAGAACACCGGUGGCGAAGGCGGUCUGCUGGGCAGUUGCUGACACUGAGGCGCGACAGCGUGGGGAGCAAACAGG
rnacentral:rRNA from 1 species